GGCCAGUUAGCUCAGUUGGUAGAGCAAGGGACUGAAAAUCCCUGUGUCCCCAGUUCGAUUCUGGGAUUGGCCACCA
rnacentral:tRNA from 1 species